UUAGAAGUUCAGUGUGGCCCGGCCUUGUUAGUACUUUGAUUGGAAACCACUUGGGAAUACUAGGGAUUUCGAGG
rnacentral:rRNA from 1 species